AACGAACGCUGGCGGCAUGCCUAACACAUGCAAGUCGAACGAGAUCUUCGGGUCUAGUGGCGCACGGGUGCGUAACGCGUGGGAACCUGCCCUUAGGUUCGGAAUAACUCCCCGAAAGGGGUGCUAAUACCGGAUAAUGUCUUCGGACCAAAGAUUUAUCGCCUUUGGAUGGGCCCGCGUUGGAUUAGCUAGUUGGUAGGGUAAAAGCCUACCAAGGCGACGAUCCAUAGCUGGUCUGAGAGGAUGAUCAGCCACACUGGGACUGAGACACGGCCCAGACUCCUACGGGAGGCAGCAGUGGGGAAUAUUGGACAAUGGGCGAAAGCCUGAUCCAGCAAUGCCGCGUGAGUGAUGAAGGCCUUAGGGUUGUAAAGCUCUUUUACCCGGGAUGAUAAUGACAGUACCGGGAGGAUAAGCUCCGGCUAACUCCGUG
rnacentral:rRNA from 1 species